rnacentral:rRNA from 1 species
GAUUUCUGGUUUGAUGUACCUGUCCCGCCUCGGUAACGGGGUCGAGUGACGGAGUAUGUCUGCCAUCCUUCUAGAGAAUAUAAACUAUCCUUUACUGGACCGGUUUAUAUCAUCUAGAUCUUUUACUUUGAAAAAAUUAGAGUGUUUAAAGCAGGCUUUUGCUAUGAAUACAUUAGCAUGGAAUAAUAAUCUAGGACUUCGGUUCUAUUUUGUUGGUUUCUAUAACUGAAGUAAUGAUUGAUAGGGAUAGUUGGGGGUGCUAGUAUUGGCCGGCCAGAGGUGAAAUUCUUGGAUUCGGUCAAGACUAACUUAUGCGAAAGCAUU